rnacentral:rRNA from 1 species
UACGUAGGUGGCAAGCGUUGUCCGGAAUUAUUGGGCGUAAAGCGCGCGCAGGCGGUCCUUUAAGUCUGAUGUGAAAGCCCACGGCUCAACCGUGGAGGGUCAUUGGAAACUGGGGGACUUGAGUGCAGGAGAGAAGAGUGGAAUUCCACGUGUAGCGGUGAAAUGCGUAGAUAUCAUUUGGAACGCCGACGGUGAAAACAGCUCGCUGGGAGUGAUCCUGACGCUGGAGACGCGAAAGCCAGGGGAGCGAACGGG